rnacentral:lncRNA from 1 species
AGCUUUUCCAUGCAAUUAGCAUUAGGGUUUUAAACCCUAAAUUGAAUUUUUCCUUUAGUCAGCAUUAGGGUUUUAAACCCUAAACUGAACUUUUUUCUAUUCAGCCAGCAUUAGGGUUUUAAACCCUAAACUGAGCUUUUCUAUGCAAUCAGCAUUAGGGUUUUAAACCCUAAACUGAAUUUUCCCUUCAGUCAGCAUUAGGGUUUUAAACCCUAAACUGAACUUUUCCUUUAGUCAGCAUUAAGGUUUUAAACCCUAAACUGAACUUUUUUCCAUUCAGCCAGCAUUAGGGUUUUAAACCUUAAACUGAGCUUUUCCAUGCAAUCAGCAUUAGGGUUUUAAACCCUAAACUGAAUUUUCCCUUUAGUCAGCAUUAGGGUUUUAAACCCUAAACUGAACUUUUUCCAUUCAGCCAACAUUAGGGUUUUAAACCCUAAACAGAGCUUUUCCAUGCAGUCAGCAUUAGAGUUUUAAACCCUAAACUGAAUUUUUCCUUUUAGUCAGCAUUAGGGUUUUAAACCCUAAACUGAACUUUUCCUUUAGUCAGCAUUAGGGUUUUAUACCCUAAACUGAACUUUUUCCAUUCAGCUAGCAUUAGGGUUUUAAACCCUAAACUGAGCUUUUCCAUUCAGCUAG